rnacentral:rRNA from 1 species
AUUGAACGCUGGCGGCAGGCCUAACACAUGCAAGUCGAAUGGUAACAGGAAACAGCUUGCUGUUUCGCUGUCGAGUGGCGGACGGGUGAGUAAUGUCUGUGAAACUGCCUGAUGGCGGGGGUUAACUACUGGAAACGGUAGCUAAUACCGCAUAACGUCUCAAGCCCAAAGAGGGGUACCUUCGGGCCUCUUGCCAUCAGCUGUUCCCAGAUGGGAUUAGCUAGUAGGUGGGGUAACGGCUCACCUAGGCGACGAUCCCUAGCUGGUCUGAGAGGAUGACCAGCCACACUGGAACUGAGACACGGUCCAGACUCCUACGGGAGGCAGCAGUGGGGAAUAUUGCACAAUGGGCGAAAGCCUGAUGCAGCCAUGCCGCGUGUAUGAAGAAGGCCUUCGGGUUGUAAAGUACUUUUAGCGGGGAGGAAGGGAGUAAAGUGAAUACCUUUGCUCAUUGACGUUACCCGCAGAAGAAGCACCGGCUAACUCCGUG